CUCGUCCGGCACUGCUCUGCAGAUUCACGAUGCUGUUCUUGUGGGAGAGCGAUCCAUUUGUGUGUAGCUGUCUGCGUUCUUCACCUCCUACCCUGGGAGCAGAGAGCCAGGAAGUCACCACUAAUCUGCCGUUUUCCUGGCCCCACCUCCGCUCUUCAUUAUUUUAAGGUGAUCUGUCUUGGACCUCUCCCUCUGGGGGGCUGCCAGCUGCCAUUCUGAGAAACAGCUCUGUGGAGGGGUUCUUAUGAGUGACUUUGGAUCAGAGAAUCUUAGGCCUGCCUCAAGCCAGUCUUAGAUCAUUCACUCUGUG